AGGACAAACGCUGGCGGGGUGCAUGAGACAUGCAAGUCGAACGGGGUGCCAUCGGGCUUGCUCGAUGGUUACCUAGUGGCGGACGGCUGAGUAACGCGUAGGUGACCUACCCGGAAGUGGGGAAUAACUGCCCGAAAGGGUGGCUAAUACCGCAUGUGGUCGGCGAUUCGAUUCGCCGUCCAAAGGAGUAAUCCGCUUCCGGCGGGGCCUGCGUCCGAUUACGCUAGUUGGUGGGUAACGCUCACCAAGGCGACGAUCGGUAGCUGGUCUGGAGAGGAUGAUCGAGCCAGGACGUGGGACUAGGAACGGAACCGGACCCCGAGAACC
rnacentral:rRNA from 1 species